UAAACGGCCCUUUUUAGGGCCACCAAUUUCUUCAUAUACGAAGGA
rfam:Camponotus floridanus CamFlo_1.0_1.contig4368, whole genome shotgun sequence.